AAGUUCUUGAAAAAUGAACAGGUAUCCAAAGUCUGCAGUGUUCUGAGAGUUAUGAAUACGAUGCUUUUUUGUCUUAUGACGAAAAAGUCGUAAGCUACGUUAGGAAAACCUUUCCUCGCCUGGAAGAUGACUACAAUCUCAGAUUUUAUAUCCCCGAUAGGGACUUACAGGUCGGAGGAUAUUUCUACGAGGAGAUCGCAGAUACCAUAGAGAAGAAAUGCAAGAAAGUAGUUAUACUCAUUUCAACGCAUUACAUGGAUUGUGAAAAGUGUGAGUUUGUACUGAAGUAUGCACUGCAUGUUGCUUACAAUGUGCGGAAGUUAGACAUACUGCCAGUUCUUCUGGAUAAGGACGCAGAGGUGCCGCUAACUCUCUCGAACAUCACGUCAUGUGACCUCUCAGAUGAGAAAACGCGUGACAAGGAAUUCAAGAAGCUGGUCGAUAAACUUAGAGCCUAACUGUAGGUUUGAAGCAAUUUCAAGA